GGAGAGGUGUCUGAGUGGUCGAAAGAGCACGCCUGGAAAGUGUGUAUACAUCAAAAGUGUAUCGAGGGUUCGAAUCCCUCCCUCUCCGCGA
rnacentral:tRNA from 1 species